GCCUUCGUGGUGUAGUGGUUUCUGCACGCUGGGCCAGUAUUCCAGAGGUCCGUGGUUCGAUUCCCGGCGAAGGCG